rnacentral:rRNA from 1 species
UACGUAGGGUGCAAGCGUUGUCCGGAAUUAUUGGGCGUAAAGAGCUUGUAGGCGGUUUGUCGCGUCUGCUGUGAAAUUUCGGGGCUCAACCCCGAACUUGCAGUGGGUACGGGCAGACUAGAGUGUGGUAGGGGAGACUGGAAUUCCUGGUGUAGCGGUGGAAUGCGCAGAUAUCAGGAGGAACACCAAUAGCGAAGGCAGCUCGCUGGGACGGUAUUGACGCUAAGGCGCGAAAGCGUGGGGAGCAAACAGG